ACACUGAAACAAUUAAAUUUAAUUUUUGAAAUUUUAAUUUAAUUGUUAUAUUUAUUUGUUGAAUUAAUUAUUAUUAUAAUAAAAGUAAUUAAAUUUUAAUUUGUUUUAGUAUUAUUUUGAAUGAAUUUAUUUAUAAAUAUAUGGGUGUAUUGUGAGAGAAUAUUGUUUUAUUUUUUAAAGUAAAUUAUUUUUUUACCUUUUGUAUCAGGGGUUAUUAAUUAAUUAAUAUGAUUUUAUUAAUCUCGAAAUUAAAAGAGCUAACUUUAAAUUAUUUUUUAUGUAGAAUAAAUAAUUAUAAAUUUAUGGUUUGGGGUGAAAUGCUAUUCGAUUUUAUUGAUAUCUAGUUUUUUUUGAAAUGAAUUUAAUUCAUAUAUUUAAUUUUUUAAUAAAUUUAUUUUUUGUUUAUGUUAAAUAUAAAAAAUUUGUGGGAUAAUCUACAAAUUUAAAUUAUUAUAAGAUUUUUGUAUUUUGAAAUUGUAGUUUUAAAAUUUUAUUUCAUUUAAGAAAAUUUAAUAAUUUAUUUAUAAAGGUAAAGAUUUAUAUGACUUUAUAUAAUUGUUUAAAAUAAAUUAUAUAUAAAUAGUUUAAUGUAUAGAUAUAAUGAUAAUAUUAGUAACUGUAUUAUUGUAGAUAUAAAUUUAAUUUUUAAUUAAAUUAAAGGAAUUCGGCAAAUUAAGAAUAUUCACCUGUUUAUCAAAAACAUGUCUUUUUGUUUAUAAUUUAAAGUUUGCUCUGCCCAAUGAAAUUUUUGAAUGGCUGCAGUAUUUUAACUGUACAAAGGUAGCAUAAUAAUUAGUCUUUUUAUUGAAGGCUUGAAUGAACGAGUUGAUGAAAUAUUUACUGUCUCUAAUUUUCAAUGUAAAUUUAAAUUUUAAGUAAGAAUGCUUAAAUUUUAAUAUGGGACGAGAAGACCCUAUAGAAUUUUAUAGUUUAUUAUUAAAUUAAUUUAAUAAUAAACUAAUUUAUUGGGAGGAUAUUUAAAUUUGUAAAACUUUAAAAAUUUACAUUCAAUUAUUUUUGUUUAAAAGGAUAGUUUAUUAAAAAUUAUUAGAUUAAAUUACCUUAGGGAUAACAGCGUAAUAUCUUUGGAGAGAUCAUAUUUAUAAAGAUGAUUGCGACCUCGAUGUUGAAUUAAGAUAUAAUUUAAAUGCAGUAGUUUAAAUUUUAAGUCUGUUCGACUUUUAAUAUCUUACAUGAUUUGAGUUCAGAUCGGUGUGAGCCAGAUCGGUUUCUAUCUAUAUUAAAUUAAUAAAUUUUUGUACGGAAGGACUUGAUUUAUAAAUUAUUUUUUUACAAAUAUUAAGAUUAUAAUAGGGUACUACUUUGGCAGAAUAGUGCGUUAAAUUUAGGGUUUAAAAUAUGUAAUUUUAUUAUAG
rnacentral:rRNA from 1 species